rnacentral:rRNA from 1 species
UACGGAGGGUGCAAGCGUUAUCCGGAUUCACUGGGUUUAAAGGGUGCGUAGGCGGGCAGGUAAGUCAGUGGUGAAAUCUCCAAGCUUAACUUGGAAACUGCCGUUGAUACUAUCUGUCUUGAAUAUUGUGGAGGUGAGCGGAAUAUGUCAUGUAGCGGUGAAAUGCUUAGAUAUGACAUAGAACACCAAUUGCGAAGGCAGCUCACUACUCAAUCAUUGACUCUGAGGCACGAAAGCGUGGGGAUCAAACAGG